rnacentral:misc_RNA from 1 species
GCGAAAUGCGAUAAGUAAUGUGAAUUGCAGAAUUCCGUGAAUCAUCGAAUCUUUGAACGCACAUUGCGCUCCCUGGUAUUCCGGAGAGCAUGCCUGUUUGAGAAUCAGUAAAUUCUUCAAUUCCAAACUUGGGAAUUGGAUAUGAGCCUUUUUGCGCUUGGGUGCAAAUGGUUUAGAAAGCAAUUUCAAAGGACCUUGGGCAGAUAUGUCUUAGGCAAAACGCAUGAAUGAGGGAACUCACCAGUACGUUUAGCAUUUGACUUGGAAGCUCUUGAACCUGUGACUCAACCAUGAUACGGACGAGAUUGCGCUUGCAAGCUCGCUCUGAACACUUGGUCUCAAAUCAGGUAGGAAAACCCGCUGAACUUAAGC